AACGAACGCUGGCGGCAGGCUUAACACAUGCAAGUCGAGCGCCCCGCAAGGGGCGCGGCCGACGGGUGAGUAACGCGUGGGAACGUACCUUUUGGUUCGGAACAACUCCGGGAAACUGGAGCUAAUACCGGAUAAGCCCUAACGGGGAAAGAUUUAUCGCCGAAAGAUCGGCCCGCGUCUGAUUAGCUAGUUGGUGAGGUAACGGCUCACCAAGGCGACGAUCAGUAGCUGGUCUGAGAGGAUGAUCAGCCACACUGGGACUGAGACACGGCCCAGACUCCUACGGGAGGCAGCAGUGGGGAAUAUUGGACAAUGGGCGCAAGCCUGAUCCAGCCAUGCCGCGUGAGUGAUGAAGGCCUUAGGGUUGUAAAGCUCUUUUGUCCGGGAAGAUAAUGACUGUACCGGAAGAAUAAGCCCCGGCUAACUUCGUG
rnacentral:rRNA from 1 species